UAGGGAAUUUUCCGCAAUGGGGGCAACCCUGACGGAGCAACGCCGCGUGAGUGAAGACGGCCUUUGGGUUGUAAAGCUCUGUAACUGGUGAAGAAGAAAGUGACGGUAGCCAGGAAGUAAGCCCCGGCUAACUACGUGCCAGCAGCCGCGGUAAUACGUAGGGGGCAAGCGUUGUCCGGAAUUAUUGGGCGUAAAGGGCGUGCAGGCGGUAAAUUAAGUCAGGUGUGAAAGGCUGAGGCUCAACCUCAGAGCUGCACCUGAAACUGGUUUACUUGAGAGCAGGAGAGGGCAGUGGAAUUCCCGGUGUAGCGGUGGAAUGCGUAGAGAUCGGGAGGAACACCAGUGGCGAAGGCGACUGCCUGGCCUGGGACUGACGCUGAGGCGCGAAAGCGUGGGGAGCAAACAGG
rnacentral:rRNA from 1 species